rnacentral:rRNA from 1 species
CGGGGUGCAGAGGCGCGAAAACUUUACAAUGCCGGCAACGGCGAUAAGGGAACCUCGAGUGCCAGGUUACAAAUCUGGCUGUCGUGAUGCCUAAAAAGCAUUGCAUAGCAAGGGCCGGGCAAGACCGGUGCCAGCCGCCGCGGUAACACCGGCGGCUCGAGUGGUAACCGUUAUUAUUGGGUCUAAAGGGUCUGUAGCCGGCCGGAUAAGUCUCUUGGGAAAUCUGGCAGCUUAACUGUCAGGCUUUCAGGAGAUACUGUCUGGCUCGAGGCCGGGAGAGGUGAGAGGUACUUCAGGGGUAGGGGUGAAAUCUUGUAAUCCUUGAAGGACCACCAGUGGCGAAGGCGUCUCACCAGAACGGACCUGACGGCAAGGGACGAAAGCUAGGGGCACGAACCGGAUUAGAUACCCGGGUAGUCCUAGCCGUAAACGAUACUCGCUAGGUGUCGGCCACGGUGCGACCGUGGUCGGUGCCGUAGGGAAGCCGUGAAGCGAGCCACCUGGGAAGUACGGCCGCAAGGCUGAAACUUAAAGGAAUUGGCGGGGGAGCACAAGGGCGAUUCGC